UUGCCAAAAAAGGACCUAACACACACCUACAGAUCCCCAUUCCAGAUCGACGAUGACAAUGGAAUAGAACAUCACAAAUACGACACCGACAUCAGUGGCUUGCUCCCUCCGUCUCUUCUGGCAGCCACGACACAGGAAGCACCACCUCAGUUAUAAUAAAUUCAAGGUCAAGAGAACAACAAAUGUGAC